UACAGAGGGUGCAAGCGUUAAUCGGAAUUACUGGGCGUAAAGCGUGCGUAGGUGGUUCUUUAAGUCAGGUGUGAAAUCCCCGGGCUCAACCUGGGAACUGCAUUGGUGACUGGCGGGCUAGAGUAUGGCAGAGGGGGGUAGAAUUCCACGUGUAGCAGUGAAAUGCGUAGAGAUGUGGAGGAAUACCGAUGGCGAAGGCAGCCCCCUGGGCCAAUACUGACGCUCAUGCACGAAAGCGUGGGGAGCAAACGAGG
rnacentral:rRNA from 1 species